ACUAGCAUAUCAAUAAGCGGAGGAAAAGAAACCAACAGGGAUUGCCUUAGUAACGGCGAGUGAAGCGGCAACAGCUCAAAUUUGAAAUCUGGCCUCUUUGGGGUCCGAGUUGUAAUUUGGAGAGGAUGUUUCGGGCACGGUCCGGGCUUAUAUUUCUUGGAACAGAAUGUCAUAGAGGGUGAGAAUCCCGUCUGGAGCUCGGACACGACCUAUGUGAAACUCCUUCGACGAGUCGAGUUGUUUGGGAAUGCAGCUCUAAAUGGGUGGUAAAUUUCAUCUAAAGCUAAAUAUUGGCCAGAGACCGAUAGCGCACAAGUAGAGUGAUCGAAAGAUGAAAAGCACUUUGAAAAGAGAGUUAAAAAGUACGUGAAAUUGUUGAAAGGGAAGCGCUGGCGACCAGACUUGCGCGUCGGGGUUCCCCCUUGCUUCUGCUUGGGUUACUCCCCGGCGCUCAGGCCAACAUCGGUUUCGGGGGUUGGUUAAAGGCCUUGGGAAUGUACCUACCCUCCGGGGUAGACUUAUAGCCCAGGGUGUCAUGCGACCUCCCGGGACCGAGGAACGCGCUUCGGCUCGGAUGUUGGCGUAAUGGUUGUCAGCGACCCGUCUUGAAACACGGACCAAGGAGUCUAACAUCUAUGCGAGUGUUAGGGUGUCAAACCCUUACGCGGAAUGAAAGUGAACGGAGGUAGGAAGCCGUUAGGCUGCACUAUCGACCGAUCCUGAAGUUUACGGACGGAUUUGAGUAAGAGCAUAGCUGUUGGGACCCGAAAGAUGGUGAACUAUGCCUGAAUAGGGUGAAGCCAGAGGAAACUCUGGUGGAGGCUCGCAGCGGUUCUGACGUGCAAAUCGAUCGUCAAAUUUGGGUAUAGGGGCGAAAGACUAAUCGAACCAUCAGGCCC
rnacentral:rRNA from 1 species